rnacentral:rRNA from 1 species
AGUUUGAUCAUGGCUCAGAUUGAACGCUGGCGGCAGGCCUAACACAUGCAAGUCGAGCGGUAACACAGAGAGCUUGCUCUCGGGUGACGAGCGGCGGACGGGUGAGUAAUGUCUGGGAAACUGCCUGAUGGAGGGGGAUAACUACUGGAAACGGUAGCUAAUACCGCAUAACGUCGCAAGACCAAAGUGGGGGACCUUCGGGCCUCAUGCCAUCAGAUGUGCCCAGAUGGGAUUAGCUAGUAGGUGGGGUAAUGGCUCACCUAGGCGACGAUCCCUAGCUGGUCUGAGAGGAUGACCAGCCACACUGGAACUGAGACACGGUCCAGACUCCUACGGGAGGCAGCAGUGGGGAAUAUUGCACAAUGGGCGCAAGCCUGAUGCAGCCAUGCCGCGUGUAUGAAGAAGGCCUUCGGGUUGUAAAGUACUUUCAGCGAGGAGGAAGGCGUUAAGGUUAAUAACCUUGGCGAUUGACGUUACUCGCAGAAGAAGCACCGGCUAACUCCGUGCCAGCAGCCGCGGUAAUACGGAGGGUGCAAGCGUUAAUCGGAAUUACUGGGCGUAAAGCGCACGCAGGCGGUCUGUCAAGUCGGAUGUGAAAUCCCCGGGCUCAACCUGGGAACUGCAUUCGAAACUGGCAGGCUAGAGUCUUGUAGAGGGGGGUAGAAUUCCAGGUGUAGCGGUGAAAUGCGUAGAGAUCUGGAGGAAUACCGGUGGCGAAGGCGGCCCCCUGGACAAAGACUGACGCUCAGGUGCGAAAGCGUGGGGAGCAAACAGGAUUAGAUACCCUGGUAGUCCACGCCGUAAACGAUGUCGACUUGGAGGUUGUGCCCUUGAGGCGUGGCUUCCGGAGCUAACGCGUUAAGUCGACCGCCUGGGGAGUACGGCCGCAAGGUUAAAACUCAAAUGAAUUGACGGGGGCCCGCACAAGCGGUGGAGCAUGUGGUUUAAUUCGAUGCAACGCGAAGAACCUUACCUACUCUUGACAUCCAGAGAACUUAGCAGAGAUGCUUUGGUGCCUUCGGGAACUCUGAGACAGGUGCUGCAUGGCUGUCGUCAGCUCGUGUUGUGAAAUGUUGGGUUAAGUCCCGCAACGAGCGCAACCCUUAUCCUUUGUUGCCAGCGAUUCGGUCGGGAACUCAAAGGAGACUG